AAAGCUAAACAGUAUUAAGGGUAAUGCCUGCCCAGUGACACUGUUAAACGGCCGCGGUAUCCUAACCGUGCAAAGGUAGCGUAAUCACUUGUCUUUUAAAUAAAGACUAGAAUGAAUGGCCAAACGAGGUUCCACCUGUCUCUUACAAAUAAUCAGUGAAAUUGAUCUUCCUGUGCAAAAGCAGGAAUAACAUUAUAAGACGAGAAGACCCUGUGGAACUUCAAAUACAAAUCAACUACCACUAACAUCCACCUACGGGGCCCAUACCAAACUAACAUCUGAUUCAUAUUUUCGGGUGGGGCGACCUCGGAGUAAAAUAAAACCUCCGAAAAAUAGAACUCUAUCUAAACCUAGACCUACAGCCCAAAGUGCUUCCAGCAAAACGAUCCAUAUACUUGAUCAACGAACCAAGCUACCCCAGGGAUAACAGCGCAAUCCCCUCUUAAAGUCCCCUCCAACAAGGGGGUACCACCCCCAUGGGGGAUCAAGAAAACCCGGGGGGGAAACCCUUUAAGGGGGCCUUUUUUCCCAAAAAAAAGGGGCCCGGGGGGGGUUUUUUAAAAAGAGAG
rnacentral:rRNA from 1 species